CAACAAUUGUGGUAAUAAAACCAGAUACCAACUCUUAUCUCAGAACUCUACAGGUAGACAUGUGGGAAGCAGAAAUUCAUCCUCAGCAUACAGUGAGUUUCAAGUUGGCCUGACCCAGAAGAAC